AAUUCGCGUGGAUAUGACAAGAAUUAGAAUUCUAAAAUCUACUGGGCGGGGAUACGGAUGGGCCUCCUAUCCCACCCUGCCCCUUCGUAAUUCCUAUCCCUAACUCUUUUCUUCUGCACGUAGGUUCUUAAUCUUUAUAUUAUGUUUCAAUUUAUUCCCAACAACUCAAAUUGGGAAUUUUCGCCAACUAGCCCUCUCGAAAUUUGUAACUGCAAGUUUAGGCUUGUUAAAAUUUUAUUUCCAAAUCUAGACUUAGUUGAGAAGAGUGGGUGAGAUGUCAAAUAAAAAGAUGGUAAACUGUUCACCGCUUAUCGAAAAUGGUAAAUGGUUCACCACUUCCAUUUUAGAUUAUAGUACUCUCAUGAAUGAGACGAAUGGUUCUAUAAGUGGUGAAUCAUUCACUACCUUCUUUUAAACCAUUUAUUCUCCUCAAGCUCUCUCCCUUUCUAAGUCCUAGAGUGAGGAGAAAACUUAUAAGCACUGAAUGGUUCACCGCAUAUAAAGAUAAUAAAUAAUUCAACACUUUCAUGAAGUGAUAAACUAUUCACCGCGUUCUCUCCUGGAUUUUGCUGCUUCCAUUUCCUUUUUUUUCCCAAUACCCAGUAAGCAUAUAAUUGUAGUAUUUUUUCAAGCAUUACUACUGCAAUAAUACACACUUAAAUUGAACUAAAUCAACUUUAAUUGCUCAUAAGCACAAGAAAAAAUAAUAUAACAAAAAAGAAUAUUAACAUAAAUAUUUAAAUAUGCAUCAAAAAUUAAUGGAAAAAAAAAUCC
rnacentral:lncRNA from 1 species